CCUACGGGAGGCAGCAGUGGGGAAUAUUGCACAAUGGGCGCAAGCCUGAUGCAGCCAUGCCGCGUGUGUGAAGAAGGCCUUCGGGUUGUAAAGCACUUUCAGCGGGGAGGAAGGCGAUAAGGUUAAUAACCUUGUCGAUUGACGUUACCCGCAGAAGAAGCACCGGCUAACUCCGUGCCAGCAGCCGCGGUAAUACGGAGGGUGCAAGCGUUAAUCGGAAUUACUGGGCGUAAAGCGCACGCAGGCGGUCUGUCAAGUCGG
rnacentral:rRNA from 1 species